AGGAUAGAUACCCUGGUAGUCCACGCCGUAAACGAUGUCUACUAGCCGUUGGGACUCUUGAAGUCUUAGUGGCGCAGCUAACGCACUAAGUAGACCGCCUGGGGAGUACGGCCGCAAGGUUAAAACUCAAAUGAAUUGACGGGGGCCCGCACAAGCGGUGGAGCAUGUGGUUUAAUUCGACGCAACGCGAAGAACCUUACCUGGCCUUGACAUGCAGAGAACUUUCCAGAGAUGGAUUGGUGC
rnacentral:rRNA from 1 species